GAUCGAACGGCGUAGCUACAGGCUUAACACAUGCAAGUCGAGGGGCAGCGGGAGGAUGCUUGCAUUCUCUGCCGGCGACCGGCGCACGGGUGAGUAACGCGUACCGAACCUGCCUCAUACUCGGGAAUAGCCUUGCGAAAGUAAGAUUAAUGCCCGGUGUUCCGCGAGGGCCGCAUGGCCUUUUCGGCAAAGUUUUUUACGGAUGAGAUGGCGGUGCGUCCCAUUAGCUUGUUGGCGGGGUAACGGCCCACCAAGGCGACGAUGGGUAGGGGUUCUGAGAGGAAGGUCCCCCACAUUGGAACUGAGACACGGUCCAA
rnacentral:rRNA from 1 species